AAUGAUGAAAGACAAAGGGAUCAUCUUUAUCUAGAUGAUACUUGAUGACACGGAAAAAAGGAUUUUCCUAACCAACGAGACAGGGGAUAAUUCAGAAGGCAGUAUUUCGUUCAGGCUACAUGAUUAUAAAAACAAAAUAUGUCAUCUACCCGCGUAGCAGAAGUUUUUCAAUCCGAUUCUUAAGAGGCUUGGUCUCUACAGAAUUGUGCCUAUUCAGGGAGUUAAGAACGGUGAGCGAAAUAUAGUAAAGUCGUGUCUUUCACCAUGUCUUAAGUUACAGGCUGGCUUAGAGUCCUGAUGAAAUUGGUACUAGAAAUUAAUAAAAUGGACGGACUGGCUUAACAAAUUCCUCUCUUGAUUUUAUCUGGAGCAGGCUGAAGUCUGGGUCCGAAUCAUCCUCAAAGCCACGGCCACGCCCCUUCUGUUCCUCUUCGGAUUCCCAGCCAACAUCCUCAACGCCGCUGUCUUCUACAGGCAGGGAAUAGGGGAGAGGAUCAACAUGUGUUUGUUUGUGUUGUCUUUGACAGACCUCGUGGGUCUCACAGCUCAGUUCUUUAUAAAUAUCGAGCAGAUGUACAGGGCGUUAAUUAAGGUUCCAGGCUUCUUCCAGGAAAACAUUGUAGGCUUCACCGGGCUUCAGCAAAACUUCUCAGUUUAUCACGUGUGUCAUCGCGUGCGAGCGGUGCUUGUGUGUGUUCCUCCCUUUCAAGGCUCAGAAAUACCUCAAGACUUCCAGCAUGGCGGCCGUUAUCGGGGUGGUGGGCGUGUUUCUUGUAGGUGGCAUGGCCCUCAUCGCCGGUCACAAGCACACCUUUACCUGUGUCUUUGAUCCUCUCACUAACGAGACGGACUUGGCCAACAGCUACACCAGCUUUUACCUGGAUAACAAAUAUGUAUUCGAUAUUAUCGACGUAUUCGUCUACGCUGUCGUCUUCACAAUCGUCCUUCUCUUUAUUAUCAUCAUCACCUCCAUCCUCACAGUCAUCAAGCUGUACCAAGCCUCUACGUGGCG